rnacentral:rRNA from 1 species
UACGAAGGGGGCUAGCGUUGUUCGGAAUCACUGGGCGUAAAGGGCGCGUAGGCGGCUUUGUAAGUCGGGGGUGAAAGCCUGUGGCUCAACCACAGAAUUGCCUUCGAUACUGCAUGGCUUGAGACCGGAAGAGGUAAGUGGAACUGCGAGUGUAGAGGUGAAAUUCGUAGAUAGUUCGCAAGAACACCGGUGGCGAAGGCGGCUUACUGGUCCGGUUCUGACGCUGAGGCGCGAAAGCGUGGGGAGCAAACAGG